ACAUGGAUUUUGCCGAUUGAAACAUUUGAAUCGCAGUAAUCUAGAAGUCUGAACCAAUUAAACCGUACCACCAUCAAUACAUUUUGAAAUUUACAAUGGUUUCUUCUUCUUCUUUCAUUCCCCUUUAUGGAUCAACCCGACCGGAUUCACUUCUUUCAAUGAGUUUCUCUGAUUUCGUUUGUUAUUUCACUUGCAUCAUCCUUGAUUAGCUUUAUGUAUAUCGGAUUAGGAGUUAUAGAAGAAAUGGUCAUAUAAUUAAUCAUUCUUUUGCAGUACUUGGAGUUAUCAGAUUUUUGAUUAAUAGUUUUGUGGCAUAUGGUUCUCACUUCAUUGGUGAAUCGAUGGAUGUGCUUUAUUUGUAGGAUUACAAUGAAAUCGUCUGUUGCAUUUAGGCCUUCACAUAAUUGAUGCAACUUAAGACAUGUACAUUAGUACAUAGUCAGAUCACUUCAGGAGGUCUUCAUCUAGAGAGACCAUUGAAAGAGUGGCUCCUAGAGCUUUGGCCAAGAAAUUUUUAGAGCAUAUUUAGGAACUGAAGUGUGCAAGUUUUCUGAUUGCACCUGAAUUGUUUCAAUAUAGAAAUUAAUAUCGUCAGGUGUCCUGAUCUCGAGUUUGCUGAAAAGGUGAUAGCCGCAUUUGUUGAUGGGCUUUGGUACACCUGUUUUCAAUAAACUCGAAGACUGAACUGGCAAAAGCAUGUAUGUCGUUGCCUGCAAACAAAAGGCUCUGAGUUUGGAAGUGGCUUUGCAGAUAAUGAGCACAACAGAAAAUUCUUUCAAAGACACUGUUGUUCUGGUGGAAUACAUAGAGAAAUCUCAAAUGGUGAGAUAACAGACAUGAGAAUUGCCUCAAGCCAACAUCUACAAUAGGAGUAAGUUGUUGUUUGAUCACAUCUGAGAUAAAUGAAAACCCUCUUUAUGCAGUUUGCUCUUGAGGAAACUGGUGACAAUUGGGAAGGAAAAUGCAUAGCAGAGAAACAAACUGAGCGUCUUGAACUCAAAUUAUCAAAUGCGGAAGCUAAUCAGAUUGAUGAGAAAAAGAAAAAAAAAGGUAGAAUAUAAGACAGAAUUCCUGUAGAUGUCUAUUUGGUAGACUCUGCAUCGAGAAAGAGACGUUAUGGCUGGUGAUUCUGAAAGGGAACUUGUCUUUGAAGAAGACAGGAACUAAAGAAUCAUUCUAGUAUCAUUCCCUGCUGCUACUGUAUGGAUCUCUUUUUUAUAUACAUUUAUUUGCACAGCUUUAAGCUAAACAACAAUCAAAGAGUGAACAUAAUAUGUGUUUAGCAUAGCUGUGGUUAUGCCAGGCGGCCUAUAUAUAUAUAUAUAUAUAUCCCAUCGGAGAAAACCCUAACUGGAAAAGGAAACUUGUAGAAAAGGUAAACUGCAAGCAAGAUUUAUGUUUCACAAAUGAGAUUGUAUUUGUUGCUGUAAGAACAAAGGGAACUCCGUUGUUGGGAAUGCUCCUCGUGUAUAGUCCCACUUUACCAUUGAAUAAUUUGAUCACAUUUCCAAGCUUUUGGAUCAGCCACAUCUAAGGCUUCACCUUCACAAAUAGCUAAGAUCAAACAAAUUGUAAUCCCCUGAAUUUGGAAUGUAAGUGUUUC
rnacentral:sRNA from 1 species